UACAGAGGGUGCAAGCGUUAAUCGGAAUUACUGGGCGUAAAGCGUGCGUAGACGGUUAUUUAAGUCAGGUGUGAAAGCCCAGGGCUCAACCUUGGAAUUGCAUUUGAGACUGAAUAGCUAGGGUGCGGAAGAGGGAAGCGGAAUUUCCGGUGUAGCGGUGAAAUGCGUAGAUAUCGGAAGGAACACCAGUGGCGAAAGCGGCAUCCUGGACCGACACUGACGCUGAGGAGCGAAAGCCAGGGGAGCAAACGGG
rnacentral:rRNA from 1 species